GAUGAACGCUGGCGGCGUGCCUAAUACAUGCAAGUCGAGCGGACGGACGAGAAGCUCGCUCCUCUGAUGGUAGGGGCGGACGGGUGAGUAAAAGGUGGAUAACCCACCUAUAAGACAGGGAUAAGUUCGGGAAACGGGAGCUAAUAGCGGAUGAUAAUUGGAACCGCAUGGUGAAAAAGUGAAAGACGGUCUUGAUGUCACUUAAAGAUGGAUGCGCGCUGCAUUAGCUAGUAGGUAAGGUAACGGCUUACCAAGGCAACGAAGGAUAGCCGACCUGAGAGCGUGAUCCGCCACCCGGGAAGUGAGGCUCGUCCCCGACUCCGACGGGAGGCCGCGGUACGGACUCUUCCGCGAUGGGCGAAAGCCUGAUCGUGCGACACCGCGUGAGUGCUGAAGGUCUUCGGAUCGUAGAACUCUGUUAUUAUUGGAGUACAUAUCUUUUAGUAACUGUGCACAUCUUGACGGUACCUAAUCAGAAAGCCCCGGCUAACUACGUG
rnacentral:rRNA from 1 species